rnacentral:rRNA from 1 species
UAUCCAGACUCCUACGGGAGGCAGCAGUGGGGAAUCUUCCGCAAUGGGCGAAAGCCUGACGGAGCAACGCCGCGUGAUCGAAUGAAGGCCUUCGGGUUUUAAAGAUCUGUUGACAGGGACGAAUAAGCCAUGCGAAUAGUUUGGUGUAUGACGGUACCUGUUUAGAAAGCCCCGGCUAACUACGUGCCAGCAGCCGCGGUAAUACGUAGGGGGCAAGCGUUAUCCGGAAUUACUGGGUGUAAAGGGAGCGUAGACGGUGAAGUAAGUCUGGAGUGAAAGGCGGGGGCCCAACCCCCGGACUGCUCUGGAAACUAUUUGACUGGAGUGCAGGAGAGGUAAGCGGAAUUCCUAGUGUAGCGGUGAAAUGCGUAGAUAUUAGGAGGAACACCAGUGGCGAAGGCGGCUUACUGGACUGUAACUGACGUUGAGGCUCGAAAGCGUGGGGAGCAAACAGGAUUAGAUACCCUCGUA